rnacentral:rRNA from 1 species
GACGAACGCUGGCGGCGUGCUUAACACAUGCGAGUCGAACGGAAAGGCCCUGCUUUUGUGGGGUGCUCGAGUGGCGAACGGGUGAGUAACACGUGAGUAACCUGCCCUUGACUUUGGGAUAACUUCAGGAAACUGGGGCUAAUACCGGAUAGGAGCUCCUGCUGCAUGGUGGGGGUUGGAAAGUUUCGGCGGUUGGGGAUGGACUCGCGGCUUAUCAGCUUGUUGGUGGGGUAGUGGCUUACCAAGGCUUUGACGGGUAGCCGGCCUGAGAGGGUGGCCGGCCACAUUGGGACUGAGAUACGGCCCAGACUCCUACGGGAGGCAGCAGUGGGGAAUAUUGCACAAUGGGCGGAAGCCUGAUGCAGCAACGCCGCGUGCGGGAUGACGGCCUUCGGGUUGUAAACCGCUUUCGCCUGUGACGAAGCGUGAGUGACGGUAAUGGGUAAAGAAGCACCGGCUAACUACGUG